UUAAGCGACUAAGCGUACACGGUGGAUGCCCUGGCAGUCAGAGGCGAUGAAGGACGUGCUAAUCUGCGAUAAGCGUCGGUAAGGUGAUAUGAACCGUUAUAACCGGCGAUUUCCGAAUGGGGAAACCCAGUGUGUUUCGACACACUAUCAUUAACUGAAUCCAUAGGUUAAUGAGGCGAACCGGGGGAACUGAAACAUCUAAGUACCCCGAGGAAAAGAAAUCAACCGAGAUUCCCCCAGUAGCGGCGAGCGAACGGGGAGGAGCCCAGAGCCUGAAUCAGUGUGUGUGUUAGUGGAAGCGUCUGGAAAGGCGCGCGAUACAGGGUGACAGCCCCGUACACAAAAAUGCACAUGCUGUGAGCUCGAUGAGUAGGGCGGGACACGUGGUAUCCUGUCUGAAUAUGGGGGGACCAUCCUCCAAGGCUAAAUACUCCUGACUGACCGAUAGUGAACCAGUACCGUGAGGGAAAGGCGAAAAGAACCCCGGCGAGGGGAGUGAAAAAGAACCUGAAACCGUGUACGUACAAGCAGUGGGAGCACGCUUAGGCGUGGUGACUGCGUACCUUUUGUAUAAUGGGUCAGCGACUUAUAUUCUGUAGCAAGGUUAACCGAAUAGGGGAGCCGAAGGGAAACCGAGUCUUAACUGGGCGUUAAGUUGCAGGGUAUAGACCCGAAACCCGGUGAUCUAGCCAUGGGCAGGUUGAAGGUUGGGUAACACUAACUGGAGGACCGAACCGACUAAUGUUGAAAAAUUAGCGGAUGACUUGUGGCUGGGGGUGAAAGGCCAAUCAAACCGGGAGAUAGCUGGUUCUCCCCGAAAGCUAUUUAGGUAGCGCCUCGUGAAUUCAUCUCCGGGGGUAGAGCACUGUUUCGGCAAGGGGGUCAUCCCGACUUACCAACCCGAUGCAAACUGCGAAUACCGGAGAAUGUUAUCACGGGAGACACACGGCGGGUGCUAACGUCCGUCGUGAAGAGGGAAACAACCCAGACCGCCAGCUAAGGUCCCAAAGUCAUGGUUAAGUGGGAAACGAUGUGGGAAGGCCCAGACAGCCAGGAUGUUGGCUUAGAAGCAGCCAUCAUUUAAAGAAAGCGUAAUAGCUCACUGGUCGAGUCGGCCUGCGCGGAAGAUGUAACGGGGCUAAACCAUGCACCGAAGCUGCGGCAGCGACGCUUAUGCGUUGUUGGGUAGGGGAGCGUUCUGUAAGCCUGUGAAGGUGUGCUGUGAGGCAUGCUGGAGGUAUCAGAAGUGCGAAUGCUGACAUAAGUAACGAUAAAGCGGGUGAAAAGCCCGCUCGCCGGAAGACCAAGGGUUCCUGUCCAACGUUAAUCGGGGCAGGGUGAGUCGACCCCUAAGGCGAGGCCGAAAGGCGUAGUCGAUGGGAAACAGGUUAAUAUUCCUGUACUUGGUGUUACUGCGAAGGGGGGACGGAGAAGGCUAUGUUGGCCGGGCGACGGUUGUCCCGGUUUAAGCGUGUAGGCUGGUUUUCCAGGCAAAUCCGGAAAAUCAAGGCUGAGGCGUGAUGACGAGGCACUACGGUGCUGAAGCAACAAAUGCCCUGCUUCCAGGAAAAGCCUCUAAGCAUCAGGUAACAUCAAAUCGUACCCCAAACCGACACAGGUGGUCAGGUAGAGAAUACCAAGGCGCUUGAGAGAACUCGGGUGAAGGAACUAGGCAAAAUGGUGCCGUAACUUCGGGAGAAGGCACGCUGAUAUGUAGGUGAAGUCCCUCGCGGAUGGAGCUGAAAUCAGUCGAAGAUACCAGCUGGCUGCAACUGUUUAUUAAAAACACAGCACUGUGCAAACACGAAAGUGGACGUAUACGGUGUGACGCCUGCCCGGUGCCGGAAGGUUAAUUGAUGGGGUCAGCGCAAGCGAAGCUCUUGAUCGAAGCCCCGGUAAACGGCGGCCGUAACUAUAACGGUCCUAAGGUAGCGAAAUUCCUUGUCGGGUAAGUUCCGACCUGCACGAAUGGCGUAAUGAUGGCCAGGCUGUCUCCACCCGAGACUCAGUGAAAUUGAACUCGCUGUGAAGAUGCAGUGUACCCGCGGCAAGACGGAAAGACCCCGUGAACCUUUACUAUAGCUUGACACUGAACAUUGAGCCUUGAUGUGUAGGAUAGGUGGGAGGCUUAGAAGUGUGGACGCCAGUCUGCAUGGAGCCGGCCUUGAAAUACCACCCUUUAAUGUUUGAUGUUCUAACGUUGACCCGUAAUCCGGGUUGCGGACAGUGUCUGGUGGGUAGUUUGACUGGGGCGGUCUCCUCCUAAAGAGUAACGGAGGAGCACGAAGGUUGGCUAAUCCUGGUCGGACAUCAGGAGGUUAGUGCAAUGGCAUAAGCCAGCUUGACUGCGAGCGUGACGGCGCGAGCAGGUGCGAAAGCAGGUCAUAGUGAUCCGGUGGUUCUGAAUGGAAGGGCCAUCGCUCAACGGAUAAAAGGUACUCCGGGGAUAACAGGCUGAUACCGCCCAAGAGUUCAUAUCGACGGCGGUGUUUGGCACCUCGAUGUCGGCUCAUCACAUCCUGGGGCUGAAGUAGGUCCCAAGGGUAUGGCUGUUCGCCAUUUAAAGUGGUACGCGAGCUGGGUUUAGAACGUCGUGAGACAGUUCGGUCCCUAUCUGCCGUGGGCGCUGGAGAACUGAGGGGGGCUGCUCCUAGUACGAGAGGACCGGAGUGGACGCAUCACUGGUGUUCGGGUUGUCAUGCCAAUGGCACUGCCCGGUAGCUAAAUGCGGAAGAGAUAAGUGCUGAAAGCAUCUAAGCACGAAACUUGCCCCGAGAUGAGUUCUCCCUGACCCUUUAAGGGUCCUGAAGGAACGUUGAAGACGACGACGUUGAUAGGCCGGGUGUGUAAGCGCAGCGAUGCGUUGAGCUAACCGGUACUAAUGAACCGUGAGGCUUAACCUU
rnacentral:rRNA from 1 species